UUUGCAAUCACACCCUGUGUAGUCCAGUUUUCAGUUUGGUCUUUGUCGAGUCGUCUGCUUUCGUGCUGUGUAUGUUCCGAGUGUUUUCCUGAGUUUUUUUUCCUGUGUUUAUGGUCUUUGUUCCUGGUCCCAGUGUCUCCUGCGACUUUUGAGUUCAUUCAUUAAAUAUUCAGCAUCGUAUCCAACCUGCCUGCCGUCUCUGCAUUUGGGUCCACCUGCUCCACUCAGCCACCUCCAUGACAGUCAAGGAAUACAGCUUUCAUUCCUCGACAGAGGAAGCAGAGGAGGCGACAACCUUGAUCUAAAGAGAAGAACACAUCCUCCACUUCCUGAAAGGCUGGGAGUUCCACGGCAGAACAAAACGCUCGACGGCAAACGUCUUCAAACUCGACUCAAUAAUUCAUUUGUCUGCUUUGAAGUGGUAACAUUUUUUCAAGUGAAUGAAGUGCUACAUUUACCGUACAGAAGCUGGACGAUGGGUGUGCAAAAUGCAGGACAUUGACCUCAGAGACUGACGUUUCCAUCCUGAGUCCCAUGUGUGGGGUUACAUUUAGGCAACAAAAGAACUUUGGUUAAGAUCAGUGAAAGACGUGGUUUCAGAACAAGGUGGGAUUCCUCCACGGGGAUUGAAGCUGCUUCACUUGUCAGCAAACAGGCGGGAUCAUUGCUUUGUACUGGAGCCCUGUUAUCUCUGGCUGUGUGAUAAAGAACUCCACAGAGUUUCCCUAUCUGGAGGAAGAAGAAAGACAACCCCGAGAGACAUUGGAGCCAGCGGUAAAUCAUCACAGAGCUGCACAGAUCAGUUCAUCGGAUCAUGCUCUCCCUGGGAUGACGACGCAGGACUCUGGCUGCUGCUGCGAGAUGACCGGCUGCUCUCACAUUGACAUUGAAAAACACAUCAUAAUGUGAAAAAAAAUAAAAAAAUAAAAUAAGAUAAUAA